rnacentral:rRNA from 1 species
UACAGAGGGUGCAAGCGUUGUUCGGAAUUAUUGGGCGUAAAGCGCGUGUAGGCGGCUUUGCAAGUCGGGUGUGAAAGCCCUCAGCUUAACUGAGGAAGUGCGCCCGAAACUGCAGAGCUUGAGUACCGGAGAGGAUGGCGGAAUUCCCCAAGUAGAGGUGAAAUUCGUAGGUAUGGGGAGGAACACCGGUGGCGAAGGCGGCCAUCUGGACGGAUACUGACGCUGAGACGCGAAAGCGUGGGUAGCAAACAGG